rnacentral:rRNA from 1 species
UACGUAGGUCCCGAGCGUUGUCCGGAUUUAUUGGGCGUAAAGCGAGCGCAGGUGGUUUAAUAAGUCUGGUGUAAAAGGCAGUGGCUCAACCAUUGUGUGCAUUGGAAACUGUUAGACUUGAGUGCAGUAGAGGAGAGUGGAAUUCCAUGUGUAGCGGUGAAAUGCGUAGAUAUAUGGAGGAACACCGGUGGCGAAAGCGGCUCUCUGGACUGUAACUGACACUGAGGCUCGAAAGCGUGGGGAGCAAACAGG